UACAGAGGGGGCAAGCGUUAUUCGGAAUUAUUGGGCGUAAAGGGCGCGUAGGCGGCUUUUCAAGUGACGGGUGAAAGCCCUCGGCUUAACCGAGGAACUGCCUGUCAGACUGGAAGGCUUGAGACCGGGAGAGGUGAGUGGAAUUCCCAGUGUAGCGGUGAAAUGCGUAGAUAUUGGGAGGAACACCAGUGGCGAAGGCGGCUACCUGGACCGGUUCUGACGCUGAGGCGCGAAAGCGUGGGUAGCAAACAGG
rnacentral:rRNA from 1 species